rnacentral:rRNA from 1 species
UUAAGCGACUAAGCGUACACGGUGGAUGCCCUGGCAGUCAGAGGCGAUGAAGGACGUGCUAAUCUGCGAUAAGCGUCGGUAAGGUGAUAUGAACCGUUAUAACCGGCGAUUUCCGAAUGGGGAAACCCAGUGUGUUUCGACACACUAUCAUUAACUGAAUCCAUAGGUUAAUGAGGCGAACCGGGGGAACUGAAACAUCUAAGUACCCCGAGGAAAAGAAAUCAACCGAGAUUCCCCCAGUAGCGGCGAGCGAACGGGGAGCAGCCCAGAGCCUGAAUCAGUGUGUGUGUUAGUGGAAGCGUCUGGAAAGGCGCGCGAUACAGGGUGACAGCCCCGUACACAAAAAUGCACAUGCUGUGAGCUCGAUGAGUAGGGCGGGACACGUGGUAUCCUGUCUGAAUAUGGGGGGACCAUCCUCCAAGGCUAAAUACUCCUGACUGACCGAUAGUGAACCAGUACCGUGAGGGAAAGGCGAAAAGAACCCCGGCGAGGGGAGUGAAAAAGAACCUGAAACCGUGUACGUACAAGCAGUGGGAGCACGCUUAGGCGUGUGACUGCGUACCUUUUGUAUAAUGGGUCAGCGACUUAUAUUCUGUAGCAAGGUUAACCGAAUAGGGGAGCCGAAGGGAAACCGAGUCUUAACUGGGCGUUAAGUUGCAGGGUAUAGACCCGAAACCCGGUGAUCUAGCCAUGGGCAGGUUGAAGGUUGGGUAACACUAACUGGAGGACCGAACCGACUAAUGUUGAAAAAUUAGCGGAUGACUUGUGGCUGGGGGUGAAAGGCCAAUCAAACCGGGAGAUAGCUGGUUCUCCCCGAAAGCUAUUUAGGUAGCGCCUCGUGAAUUCAUCUCCGGGGGUAGAGCACUGUUUCGGCAAGGGGGUCAUCCCGACUUACCAACCCGAUGCAAACUGCGAAUACCGGAGAAUGUUAUCACGGGAGACACACGGCGGGUGCUAACGUCCGUCGUGAAGAGGGAAACAACCCAGACCGCCAGCUAAGGUCCCAAAGUCAUGGUUAAGUGGGAAACGAUGUGGGAAGGCCCAGACAGCCAGGAUGUUGGCUUAGAAGCAGCCAUCAUUUAAAGAAAGCGUAAUAGCUCACUGGUCGAGUCGGCCUGCGCGGAAGAUGUAACGGGGCUAAACCAUGCACCGAAGCUGCGGCAGCGACGCUUAUGCGUUGUUGGGUAGGGGAGCGUUCUGUAAGCCUGCGAAGGUGUGCUGUGAGGCAUGCUGGAGGUAUCAGAAGUGCGAAUGCUGACAUAAGUAACGAUAAAGCGGGUGAAAAGCCCGCUCGCCGGAAGACCAAGGGUUCCUGUCCAACGUUAAUCGGGGCAGGGUGAGUCGACCCCUAAGGCGAGGCCGAAAGGCGUAGUCGAUGGGAAACAGGUUAAUAUUCCUGUACUUGGUGUUACUGCGAAGGGGGGACGGAGAAGGCUAUGUUGGCCGGGCGACGGUUGUCCCGGUUUAAGCGUGUAGGCUGGUUUUCCAGGCAAAUCCGGAAAAUCAAGGCUGAGGCGUGAUGACGAGGCACUACGGUGCUGAAGCAACAAAUGCCCUGCUUCCAGGAAAAGCCUCUAAGCAUCAGGUAACAUCAAAUCGUACCCCAAACCGACACAGGUGGUCAGGUAGAGAAUACCAAGGCGCUUGAGAGAACUCGGGUGAAGGAACUAGGCAAAAUGGUGCCGUAACUUCGGGAGAAGGCACGCUGAUAUGUAGGUGAAGUCCCUCGCGGAUGGAGCUGAAAUCAGUCGAAGAUACCAGCUGGCUGCAACUGUUUAUUAAAAACACAGCACUGUGCAAACACGAAAGUGGACGUAUACGGUGUGACGCCUGCCCGGUGCCGGAAGGUUAAUUGAUGGGGUCAGCGCAAGCGAAGCUCUUGAUCGAAGCCCCGGUAAACGGCGGCCGUAACUAUAACGGUCCUAAGGUAGCGAAAUUCCUUGUCGGGUAAGUUCCGACCUGCACGAAUGGCGUAAUGAUGGCCAGGCUGUCUCCACCCGAGACUCAGUGAAAUUGAACUCGCUGUGAAGAUGCAGUGUACCCGCGGCAAGACGGAAAGACCCCGUGAACCUUUACUAUAGCUUGACACUGAACAUUGAGCCUUGAUGUGUAGGAUAGGUGGGAGGCUUUGAAGUGUGGACGCCAGUCUGCAUGGAGCCGACCUUGAAAUACCACCCUUUAAUGUUUGAUGUUCUAACGUUGACCCGUAAUCCGGGUUGCGGACAGUGUCUGGUGGGUAGUUUGACUGGGGCGGUCUCCUCCUAAAGAGUAACGGAGGAGCACGAAGGUUGGCUAAUCCUGGUCGGACAUCAGGAGGUUAGUGCAAUGGCAUAAGCCAGCUUGACUGCGAGCGUGACGGCGCGAGCAGGUGCGAAAGCAGGUCAUAGUGAUCCGGUGGUUCUGAAUGGAAGGGCCAUCGCUCAACGGAUAAAAGGUACUCCGGGGAUAACAGGCUGAUACCGCCCAAGAGUUCAUAUCGACGGCGGUGUUUGGCACCUCGAUGUCGGCUCAUCACAUCCUGGGGCUGAAGUAGGUCCCAAGGGUAUGGCUGUUCGCCAUUUAAAGUGGUACGCGAGCUGGGUUUAGAACGUCGUGAGACAGUUCGGUCCCUAUCUGCCGUGGGCGCUGGAGAACUGAGGGGGGCUGCUCCUAGUACGAGAGGACCGGAGUGGACGCAUCACUGGUGUUCGGGUUGUCAUGCCAAUGGCACUGCCCGGUAGCUAAAUGCGGAAGAGAUAAGUGCUGAAAGCAUCUAAGCACGAAACUUGCCCCGAGAUGAGUUCUCCCU